GACAGAGGGGGCAAGCGUUGCUCGGAAUUACUGGGCGUAAGGCGCACGUAGGCGGCUCUUUAAGUCGGGGGUGAAAUCCUGGAGCUCAACUCCAGAACUGCCUUCGAUACUGUAGAGCUUGAGUUCGGGAGAGGUGAGUGGAACUGCGAGUGUAGAGGUGAAAUUCGUAGAUAUUCGCAAGAACACCAGUGGCGAAGGCGGCUCACUGGCCCGAUACUGACGCUGAGGUGCGAAAGCGUGGGGAGCAAACAGG
rnacentral:rRNA from 1 species